rnacentral:rRNA from 1 species
UACAGAGGGUGCAAGCGUUGUUCGGAAUUAUUGGGCGUAAAGCGCGUGUAGGCGGCUUUGCAAGUCGGGUGUGAAAGCCCUCAGCUCAACUGAGGAAGUGCGCCCGAAACUGCAGAGCUUGAGUACCGGAGAGGAUGGCGGAAUUCCCAAGUAGAGGUGAAAUUCGUAGAUAUGGGAGGAACACCGGUGGCGAAGGCGGCCAUCUGGACGGAUACUGACGCUGAGACGCGAAAGCGUGGGGAGCAAACAGG